CAUUAAUUCUUCAACUAUAGUAGGAAUCAGCUUAGAAAGUAUGACCGAAAAUGAUGAUUGGAGCUUGCAUGAUCUGCUGAUUAGCAUUUCCAUGUAGCCAGGACCUGACAACAUCCUGGUUGA